GUGAUCUUGAGAGCUUGCUCUUGGGUGAUCAGUGGCGAACGGGUGAGUAACACGUGAGUAACCUGCCCCUGACUCUGGAAUAACUUCGGGAAACCGAAGCUAAUACCGGAUAUGACACAGAGCCGCAUGGUUUCUGUGUGGAAAGUUUUUCGGUUGGGGAUGGACUCGCGGCCUAUCAGCUUGUUGGUGAGGUAAUGGCUCACCAAGGCGACGACGGGUAGCCGGCCUGAGAGGGCGACCGGCCACACUGGGACUGAGACACGGCCCAGACUCCUACGGGAGGCAGCAGUGGGGAAUAUUGCACAAUGGGCGAAAGCCUGAUGCAGCGACGCCGCGUGAGGGAUGAAGGCCUUCGGGUUGUAAACCUCUUUCAGUAGGGAAGAAGCGCAAGUGACGGUACCUACAGAAGAAGCACCGGCUAACUACGUGCCAGCAGCCGCGGUAAUACGUAGGGUGCGAGCGUUGUCCGGAAUUAUUGGGCGUAAAGAGCUUGUAGGCGGUUUGUCGCGUCUGCCGUGAAAAUCCGGGGCUCAACUCCGGACUUGCGGUGGGUACGGGCAGACUAGAGUGUGGUAGGGGAGACUGGAAUUCCUGGUGUAG
rnacentral:rRNA from 1 species